rnacentral:rRNA from 1 species
UGGGGAAUCUUAGACAAUGGGGGAAACCCUGAUCUAGCCAUGCCGCGUGAGUGAUGAAGGCCUUAGGGUUGUAAAGCUCUUUCAGCUGGGAAGAUAAUGACGGUACCAGCAGAAGAAGCCCCGGCUAACUCCGUGCCAGCAGCCGCGGUAAUACGGAGGGGGCUAGCGUUGUUCGGAAUUACUGGGCGUAAAGCGCACGUAGGCGGACUGGAAAGUUGGAGGUGAAAUCCUGGGGCUCAACCCCAGAACUGCCUUCAAAACUAUCAGUCUGGAGUUCGAGAGAGGUGAGUGGAAUUCCGAGUGUAGAGGUGAAAUUCGUAGAUAUUCGGGGAAACACCAGUGGCGAAGGCGGCUCACUGGCUAGAUACUGACGCUGAGGUGCGAAAGCGUGGGGAGCAAACAGG